UCACUCCACGAGACCCCAGUUCGGCCUAACAAUUGCUUGGUUUCAGAAUUCCACAGAAAGGUCUUGAAAUCUGUGCCCUGCUGCGGGUAAAGCUUGGCCCUUUCCUUGUCCAUGACGGUGAGAGGCGGGGAGAGGAGGACGUGGCGAGGGAGAGGCUGCUACUGACUGCCUUCCUCUCGGUCUCUCUCCAAGGGCUUCGUGAUGAUGGUCAAUGCAGUAUUCCCCCCCUCUAUAUUCUCUCUCCCUUGGUCUAACCCUGCCUGACCUCCCCUUGCGCAUGUCUGAUUAUACAGGAGGCCCCCAGACUGUCGAACACCGGCUGAAUACCUUACUGCAUCAGUCUACAGCAGGGACUUGUACCUGUCUCGCACUCAAGAUAUUGGCAAUACAAGGCAGUGUGAAGGAGACUGGGAUGACAGGAACCGGUGGCCAUCUUUGAGUCAAGAAUGUUGCAGCAUUUAAUUUUGUGAUCUGUAAUCGUAACGAGGGACUUGUAAGCGUCUCGCACUCAAGAUAUUGGCAAUACAAGGCAGUGUGAUGGAGGCAGGGAUGACAGGAACCGGCAGCCAUCUUUCCACGUCAAGAUGUUACAGAAUCCAUUUCAUUUCUCUGUAAUCGUAACGAGAGGCUUGCAAUUGUCUCGUUAAUUCAAGAUGCUGGUAAUAUACAGCUGCAAAGGCGGACAAGCAUGGCAGGAACCGGCAGCCAUCUCUGAGUCAACAGCACUACGUAAUCAAUAUUUCCCUUCUGUAAUCGUUAUGGAAAUGACUUGUAACUACCCUCAUCGACUCAAGAUACCGGCAUAGUACAGGAAAGUGAAAGACGGACGGCAGGAACCGGCAGCCAUCUUUCUGGGUCAAGGAUAUUGCAUAAUCAAUAUUUCUCCUCUCUAAUAACGAAGAGGACUCCUCCUUAUUAACUCAAGACACCGGGGAAACACAACAGAGGAGAGCAGGAUGGCAGGAACCGGCAGCUAGCUUUUCUGGGUCAACACCAUCACAUAAUCAAUAUUUUUUCGUCUAUAAUCGUAA